UACGUAGGGGGCUAGCGUUGUCCGGAAUCAUUGGGCGUAAAGAGCGUGUAGGCGGUCCGGUAAGUCCGUUGUGAAAGUCAGGGGCUCAACCCUUGAAUGCCGGCGGAUACUGUCGGGCUAGAGUCCGGAAGAGGCAAGUGGAAUUCCCGGUGUAGCGGUGAAAUGCGCAGAUAUCGGGGAGGAACACCUAUGGCGAAGGCAGCUUGCUGGGACGGUACUGACGCUGGAGACGCGAAAGCGUGGGGAGCAAACAGG
rnacentral:rRNA from 1 species